rnacentral:rRNA from 1 species
AGCGUACACGGUGGAUGCCCUGGCAGUCAGAGGCGAUGAAGGACGUGCUAAUCUGCGAUAAGCGUCGGUAAGGUGAUAUGAACCGUUAUAACCGGCGAUUUCCGAAUGGGGAAACCCAGUGUGUUUCGACACACUAUCAUUAACUGAAUCCAUAGGUUAAUGAGGCGAACCGGGGGAACUGAAACAUCUAAGUACCCCGAGGAAAAGAAAUCAACCGAGAUUCCCCCAGUAGCGGCGAGCGAACGGGGAGGAGCCCAGAGCCUGAAUCAGUGUGUGUGUUAGUGGAAGCGUCUGGAAAGGCGCGCGAUACAGGGUGACAGCCCCGUACACAAAAAUGCACAUACUGUGAGCUCGAUGAGUAGGGCGGGACACGUGGUAUCCUGUCUGAAUAUGGGGGGACCAUCCUCCAAGGCUAAAUACUCCUGACUGACCGAUAGUGAACCAGUACCGUGAGGGAAAGGCGAAAAGAACCCCGGCGAGGGGAGUGAAAAAGAACCUGAAACCGUGUACGUACAAGCAGUGGGAGCCUCUUUUAUGGGGUGACUGCGUACCUUUUGUAUAAUGGGUCAGCGACUUAUAUUCUGUAGCAAGGUUAACCGAAUAGGGGAGCCGAAGGGAAACCGAGUCUUAACUGGGCGUUAAGUUGCAGGGUAUAGACCCGAAACCCGGUGAUCUAGCCAUGGGCAGGUUGAAGGUUGGGUAACACUAACUGGAGGACCGAACCGACUAAUGUUGAAAAAUUAGCGGAUGACUUGUGGCUGGGGGUGAAAGGCCAAUCAAACCGGGAGAUAGCUGGUUCUCCCCGAAAGCUAUUUAGGUAGCGCCUCGUGAAUUCAUCUCCGGGGGUAGAGCACUGUUUCGGCAAGGGGGUCAUCCCGACUUACCAACCCGAUGCAAACUGCGAAUACCGGAGAAUGUUAUCACGGGAGACACACGGCGGGUGCUAACGUCCGUCGUGAAGAGGGAAACAACCCAGACCGCCAGCUAAGGUCCCAAAGUCAUGGUUAAGUGGGAAACGAUGUGGGAAGGCCCAGACAGCCAGGAUGUUGGCUUAGAAGCAGCCAUCAUUUAAAGAAAGCGUAAUAGCUCACUGGUCGAGUCGGCCUGCGCGGAAGAUGUAACGGGGCUAAACCAUGCACCGAAGCUGCGGCAGCGACGCUUAUGCGUUGUUGGGUAGGGGAGCGUUCUGUAAGCCUGUGAAGGUGUGCUGUGAGGCAUGCUGGAGGUAUCAGAAGUGCGAAUGCUGACAUAAGUAACGAUAAAGCGGGUGAAAAGCCCGCUCGCCGGAAGACCAAGGGUUCCUGUCCAACGUUAAUCGGGGCAGGGUGAGUCGACCCCUAAGGCGAGGCCGAAAGGCGUAGUCGAUGGGAAACAGGUUAAUAUUCCUGUACUUGGUGUUACUGCGAAGGGGGGACGGAGAAGGCUAUGUUGGCCGGGCGACGGUUGUCCCGGUUUAAGCGUGUAGGCUGGUUUUCCAGGCAAAUCCGGAAAAUCAAGGCUGAGGCGUGAUGACGAGGCACUACGGUGCUGAAGCAACAAAUGCCCUGCUUCCAGGAAAAGCCUCUAAGCAUCAGGUAACAUCAAAUCGUACCCCAAACCGACACAGGUGGUCAGGUAGAGAAUACCAAGGCGCUUGAGAGAACUCGGGUGAAGGAACUAGGCAAAAUGGUGCCGUAACUUCGGGAGAAGGCACGCUGAUAUGUAGGUGAAGUCCCUUGCGGAUGGAGCUGAAAUCAGUCGAAGAUACCAGCUGGCUGCAACUGUUUAUUAAAAACACAGCACUGUGCAAACACGAAAGUGGACGUAUACGGUGUGACGCCUGCCCGGUGCCGGAAGGUUAAUUGAUGGGGUCAGCGCAAGCGAAGCUCUUGAUCGAAGCCCCGGUAAACGGCGGCCGUAACUAUAACGGUCCUAAGGUAGCGAAAUUCCUUGUCGGGUAAGUUCCGACCUGCACGAAUGGCGUAAUGAUGGCCAGGCUGUCUCCACCCGAGACUCAGUGAAAUUGAACUCGCUGUGAAGAUGCAGUGUACCCGCGGCAAGACGGAAAGACCCCGUGAACCUUUACUAUAGCUUGACACUGAACAUUGAGCCUUGAUGUGUAGGAUAGGUGGGAGGCUUAGAAGUGUGGACGCCAGUCUGCAUGGAGCCGACCUUGAAAUACCACCCUUUAAUGUUUGAUGUUCUAACGUUGACCCCUAAUCGGGGUUGCGGACAGUGUCUGGUGGGUAGUUUGACUGGGGCGGUCUCCUCCUAAAGAGUAACGGAGGAGCACGAAGGUUGGCUAAUCCUGGUCGGACAUCAGGAGGUUAGUGCAAUGGCAUAAGCCAGCUUGACUGCGAGCGUGACGGCGCGAGCAGGUGCGAAAGCAGGUCAUAGUGAUCCGGUGGUUCUGAAUGGAAGGGCCAUCGCUCAACGGAUAAAAGGUACUCCGGGGAUAACAGGCUGAUACCGCCCAAGAGUUCAUAUCGACGGCGGUGUUUGGCACCUCGAUGUCGGCUCAUCACAUCCUGGGGCUGAAGUAGGUCCCAAGGGUAUGGCUGUUCGCCAUUUAAAGUGGUACGCGAGCUGGGUUUAGAACGUCGUGAGACAGUUCGGUCCCUAUCUGCCGUGGGCGCUGGAGAACUGAGGGGGGCUGCUCCUAGUACGAGAGGACCGGAGUGGACGCAUCACUGGUGUUCGGGUUGUCAUGCCAAUGGCACUGCCCGGUAGCUAAAUGCGGAAGAGAUAAGUGCUGAAAGCAUCUAAGCACGAAACUUGCCCCGAGAUGAGUUCUCCCUGACUCCUUGA